rnacentral:rRNA from 1 species
GACGAACGCUGGCGGCGUGCCUAAUACAUGCAAGUUGAGCGAUGAAGAUUGGUGCUUGCACCAAUUUGAAGAGCAGCGAACGGGUGAGUAACGCGUGGGGAAUCUGCCUUUGAGCGGGGGACAACAUUUGGAAACGAAUGCUAAUACCGCAUAACAACUUUAAACAUAAGUUUUAAGUUUGAAAGAUGCAAUUGCAUCACUCAAAGAUGAUCCCGCGUUGCAUUAGCUAGUUGGUGAGGUAAAGGCUCACCAAGGCGAUGAUACAUAGCCGACCUGAGAGGGUGAUCGGCCAAAUUGGGACUGAGAAACGGCCCAAACUCCUACGGGAGGCAGCAGUAGGGAAUCUUCGGCAAUGGACGAAAGUCUGACCGAGCAACGGCGCGUGAGUGAAGAAGGUUUUCGGAUCGUAAAACUCUGUUGGUAGAGAAGAACGUUGGUGGGAGUGGAAAGCUCAUCAAGUGACGGUAACUACCCAGAAAGGGACGGCUAACUACGUG